rnacentral:rRNA from 1 species
AUUGAACGCUGGCGGAAUGCUUUACACAUGCAAGUCGAACGGUAGAGGGGGCAACCCCUUGAGAGUGGCGAACGGGUGAGUAAUAUAUCGGAACGUGCCCAGUCGUGGGGAUAACGUAGCGAAAGUUACGCUAAUACCGCAUACGAUCUAAGGAUGAAAGCGGGGGACUCGCAAGAGCCUCGCGCGAUUGGAGCGGCCGAUAUCAGAUUAGGUAGUUGGUGAGGUAAAGGCUCACCAAGCCGACGAUCUGUAGCUGGUCUGAGAGGACGACCAGCCACACUGGGACUGAGACACGGCCCAGACUCCUACGGGAGGCAGCAGUGGGGAAUUUUGGACAAUGGGCGCAAGCCUGAUCCAGCAAUGCCGCGUGCAGGAUG